rnacentral:rRNA from 1 species
AACGAACGCUGGCGGCAUGCCUAACACAUGCAAGUCGAACGAGACCUUCGGGUCUAGUGGCGCACGGGUGCGUAACGCGUGGGAACCUGCCCUUAGGUUCGGAAUAACUCCCCGAAAGGGGUGCUAAUACCGGAUAAUGUCUUCGGACCAAAGAUUUAUCGCCUUUGGAUGGGCCGGCGUUGGAUUAGCUAGUUGGUAGGGUAAAAGCCUACCAAGGCGACGAUCCAUAGCUGGUCUGAGAGGAUGAUCAGCCACACUGGGACUGAGACACGGCCCAGACUCCUACGGGAGGCAGCAGUGGGGAAUAUUGGACAAUGGGCGAAAGCCUGAUCCAGCAAUGCCGCGUGAGUGAUGAAGGCCUUAGGGUUGUAAAGCUCUUUUACCCGGGAUGAUAAUGACAGUACCGGGAGAAUAAGCUCCGGCUAACUCCGUG